rnacentral:tRNA from 1 species
GCCGACGUAGCCCAACUUGGCAGAGGCAGCAGACUCAGAAUCUGUAACGUGAGGGUUCGAAUCCCUCCGUCGGUA